AUUGAACGCUGGCGGCAGGCCUAACACAUGCAAGUCGAGCGGUAGAGAGGUGCUUGCACCUCUUGAGAGCGACGGACGGGUGAGUAAUGCCUAGGAAUCUGCCUGGUAGUGGGGGAUAACGCUCGGAAACGGACGCUAAUACCGCAUACGUCCUACGGGAGAAAGCAGGGGACCUUCGGGCCUUGCGCUAUCAGAUGAGCCUAGGUCGGAUUAGCUAGUUGGUGAGGUAAUGGCUCACCAAGGCGACGAUCCGUAACUGGUCUGAGAGGAUGAUCAGUCACACUGGAACUGAGACACGGUCCAGACUCCUACGGGAGGCAGCAGUGGGGAAUAUUGGACAAUGGGCGAAAGCCUGAUCCAGCCAUGCCGCGUGUGUGAAGAAGGUCUUCGGAUUGUAAGGCACUUUAAGUUGGGAGGAAGGGUCGUUACCUAAUACGUGACGAUUUUGACGUUACCGACAGAAUAAGCACCGGCUAACUCUGUGCCAGCAGCCGCCGUAAUAC
rnacentral:rRNA from 1 species